AACACCUCAUAUUUUACAUAAUCAGCCCGCAGUCCAUCACUAUCUCUUUCCUCCUGAGUCCGAGCGAGAUGGGGCCGCUAUGCAGAUGACGCCGGGCGCGGCGGCGGCGAUCUUCGGCCAGAUCCGGUCGGGGAGGCGAGGCAGGGGCCAGAUCCUGUUCCGGGGACGGCGUGGAGGCGAUCUACAAGGCACGGGAGGAGGUCAGGCGGCGGGGCUUGAACUCCAUCAGGCCCCCUUUUGAUGGAUGGGGCCGCCCACAUCGCUAGCGACUCCUCGGAGGACGACAGGGCCUCCUCCUCCGCGUCCUCUACCGGUUCGGCCUCCUGGCGCUCCCGGCCGCACAAGUGGAUUCACCUGCGGCGGCGCCGGCGCCGGCGCCCGUUGUCCGCUCGGAGAGGAGAGGGCGGUGAAGCCAACGGCAAGGGCGACGGUGACGACGUGCAGGACCUCGCGCUGCCGCUGGGGAGAUGUCCUUCGCGGCGGUUCUCGCCCAGUACAUGCCUUUGGAAAACCAUGGCCAGUGUUGUUUCCACCGGACCGGGUCCUCUCUCCGCUGUUCUGAUCUAAUGUCGACUAUGUGCCGUUGGCUUUCCGUGCACAAGGUCCUACCGGCGGCAUUGGGCACCAUGUGGGAAGCGGAAGGAGGAGCCGCAACUCUCCAUGCAAGCUCGGGUCAAUGUCAUCGCAAGUUCCGUGCUCGACGUUGCUGUUCAAUGUCGCCUCAGCUGAUUUCGCCCGCCGUCCGCCCGAUGCUCCACACUUUGCCGUAACUCAAUCUGCCAGUUCUCCGCUUGAGUGUGUAGUUUCAGUUCCACAUCAAAUGUGUUGCGCUUGCAGUGCGUACCAAUGUACAGUUUACCGAUGUGUAUAUAUGCGGAGUCGAUGGAAAACAUUGAAGCCAAUAGUUGUAUACCUAUUUCAAAAAUCAGCAAGUGGUUAGUAACAUUCUACAUCAAGGUAUUACAGAGAGAAAGGAGUAUCUCCUAUUUUAUUUUUGUGGGAUUGGGAGCAAUUUAGAAACUUAUGAAAAUAUAGGAAUCAUUCUCACUUUAAUCUCCAGUCCUCUUGUUUUGCUUCAUUUAUCAUGCAUUAUGCAUGUCAUAUGUUCCCACAAAUGCCUGGCAGAAGCACAACUUUCAUAGGGAACGUAGAAUGGUCACUUUGGUAGCAGGGCAGAUGCACGUUCCCAAUGUAUAUGUAAAAUUAUAUGCAUAUCUAGCCAUAGAAAUACAUGCAUCUGAACCGCAUCGGACAUAGUGUCGGACUGUCAGCCUAAAAUAUUCCUCUUUAUAUCAUUCUCUAUUUCUGUGAAUAUGCAAAUAUAAGUGCCAUGUAUGUGCUUGUGGAACUUUUGCUGUAAAAUUUCACUCUUCUUUACGAAAAGUAGGUUGAAGAAAGUUUUGAUUUUUCUU